UUUAAAUCUGUUGGGGACUGUUUCCUGGGCUUCAUUAACAUUCUGAGAGUUGCUCAGCUUUUCUGGAAAUUCAUUCUCAACAUGGCCUCAUUUUAGAUUUCACUCGAUAUUAGACCCGAUUUACCUACUACACUGACUACCUAAUUUUAAAUCUGGCUUCAGUUCCAGGCACUGGAACUAAGUGGAGAGUUUUUCUUCUCCAACAGUCUCAUAUAGUAGUCUCAAAGUAGUACUUGCUAGUCUGGGAAGAAGCCUAAGACAGGACGAGAAUAGAGCUGUGCAAGUAAAUGAGCCAGGACAAGUCAUCUCCAAGCAGGGGCAAGAGUUGCUGAGUCUCCACAACAUCAGUCCUGGCUCCAAGAGUAGCCAUCACCUGCUCAGAAGAGGCUGUUGAAGGAUGGAGCUCCUGUAGAGAGCUGGACCCAGCACUGUCUGUGCAUGGCCCUCCUUUCCCGCUCCAUGAAGCCUGAAAUCACAGAAGAAACAAUAUACAUUUGAAGACCCUAACAGCACAUAAAAUAAACUGAAUACAAAAGGAUGAGAAAGGAUUGAAAAGGAUGAAGAAAAUCCUUAUUAAUGUGGGAGGCCGCCAUGUCAUGUGACUAGUGUUUUCUUCUCCUGAUUGGUUGAGGCCUUGUUGGUCACUUCCAGUGAUCUGGCCCCAUCGUAAAAAUGACACAAAUGUGUCUUCAUUCAUGGGCAUGCCUUCCUGUAUCCCCAGGGAUCGAGUUACCUUACCUGUCCUUGUAACCUGCCUCUCUUGACCUUUUCUGGAUGGAAAUUUCUAAGAAUCAGAGUUCCCCCAAUAAAAGACUACUUCUGAAUGUU